GUGACGAUAGCCCAAUGGUUAGAGCAGCGGCUUGUUCAGCCGAAGGUCGUGGGUUCGAAUCCCGCUCGUGACA